rnacentral:rRNA from 1 species
UGCAAGUCGAGGGGCAGCAUGGUCUUAGCUUGCUAAGGCCGAUGGCGACCGGCGCACGGGUGAGUAACACGUAUCCAACCUGCCGUCUACUCUUGGACAGCCUUCUGAAAGGAAGAUUAAUACAAGAUGGCAUCAUGAGUCCGCAUGUUCACAUGAUUAAAGGUAUUCCGGUAGACGAUGGGGAUGCGUUCCAUUAGAUAGUAGGCGGGGUAACGGCCCACCUAGUCUUCGAUGGAUAGGGGUUCUGAGAGGAAGGUCCCCCACAUUGGAACUGAGACACGGUCCAAACUCCUACGGGAGGCAGCAGUGAGGAAUAUUGGUCAAUGGGCGAGAGCCUGAACCAGCCAAGUAGCGUGAAGGAUGACUGCCCUAUGGGUUGUAAACUUCUUUUAUAAAGGAAUAAAGUCGGGUAUGCAUACCCGUUUGCAUGUACUUUAUGAAUAAGGAUCGGCUAACUCCGUGCCAGCAGCCGCGGUAAUACGGAGGAUCCGAGCGUUAUCCGGAUUUAUUGGGUUUAAAGGGAGCGUAGAUGGAUGUUUAAGUCAGUUGUGAAAGUUUGCGGCUCAACCGUAAAAUUGCAGUUGAUACUGGAUAUCUUGAGUGCAGUUGAGGCAGGCGGAAUUCGUGGUGUAGCGGUGAAAUGCUUAGAUAUCACGAAGAACUCCGAUUGCGAAGGCAGCCUGCUAA